UACGUAGGGUGCAAGCGUUAAUCGGAAUUACUGGGCGUAAAGCGUGCGCAGACGGUUGCGUAAGUCAGAUGUGAAAGCCCCGGGCUCAACCUGGGAAUUGCAUUUGAGACUGCAUAGCUAGGGUGCGGAAGAGGGAAGCGGAAUUUCCGGUGUAGCGGUGAAAUGCGCAGAUAUUGGGAGGAACACCUAUUGCGAAGGCAGCUCGCUGGGACGUUACUGACGCUGGAGACGCGAAAGCGUGGGGGAGCAAACAGG
rnacentral:rRNA from 1 species